UGGGGAAUUUUGCACAAUGGAGGAAACUCUGAUGCAGCGACGCCGCGUGAGUGAUGAAGAUCUUCGGAUUGUAAAACUCUGUCCUUAGUGAAGAUAAUGACAGUAACUAAGAAGCAAGCCCUGGCUAAAUACGUGCCAGCAGCCGCGGUAAUACGUAUGGGGCAAGCGUUGUCCGGAAUUAUUGGGCGUAAAGGGUACGUAGGCGGUUUAAUAAGUCCUAAUUAAAAGGCUAUGGCUCAACCAUAGUAUGGUUAGGAAACUGUUGAACUUGAGUAGAUGAGGGGAAAGUGGAAUUCCAUGUGUAGCGGUGAAAUGCGUAGAUAUAUGGAGGAACAACAAUGGCGAAGGCAACUUUCUGGAAUCAAACUGACGCUGAGGUACGAAGGCGUGGGGAGCAAACAGG
rnacentral:rRNA from 1 species